UGACCACAUCAUGUUGAAGCACCAGUUCCUGUACAAUCACCAAAGUUAAGCAACAUUAAGCCUAGAAAGUACCUUGAUGGAUGAUCGCUUGGAAAUGCCAGGUGCUGUAAG